rnacentral:lncRNA from 1 species
GGCACUUUCCCAGUCCCCGAGGCGGAUCCGGUGUUGCAUCCUUGGAGAGAGCUGAGAGCUGGAGUACAGAACCUGCUAAGGCCAUCAAACCUAUUGAUCGGAAGUCAGUCCAUCAGAUUUGCUCUGGGCAGGUGGUACUGAGUCUAAGCACUGCGGUGAAGAAGAUAGUAGAAAACAGUCUGGAUGCUGGUGCCACUAAUAUUGAUCUAAAGCUUAAGGACUAUGGAAUGGAUCUCAUUGAAGUUUCAGGCAAUGGAUGUGGGGUAGAAGAAGAAAACUUUAAAGGCUUAAUGAUGUCACCAUUUCUACCUGCCACGUAUCGGCGAAGGUUGGGACUCGACUGGUGUUUGAUCACGAUGGGAAAAUCAUCCAGAAAACCCCCUACCCCCACCCCAGAGGGACCACAGUCAGCGUGAAGCAGUUAUUUUCUACGCUACCUGUGCGCCAUAAGGAAUUUCAAAGGAAUAUUAAG